AACGAACGCUGGCGGCAGGCCUAACACAUGCAAGUCGAGCGAGGACUUCGGUUCUAGCGGCGGACGGGUUAGUAACGCGUGGGAACGUACCCUUUUCUACGGAAUAGCCUCGGGAAACUGAGAGUAAUACCGUAUACGCCCUUAGGGGGAAAGAUUUAUCGGAGAAGGAUCGGCCCGCGUUAGAUUAGAUAGUUGGUGGGGUAAUGGCCUACCAAGUCUACGAUCUAUAGCUGGUUUGAGAGGAUGAUCAGCAACACUGGGACUGAGACACGGCCCAGACUCCUACGGGAGGCAGCAGUGGGGAAUCUUAGACAAUGGGCGCAAGCCUGAUCUAGCCAUGCCGCGUGAGUGAUGAAGGCCUUAGGGUCGUAAAGCUCUUUCGCCUGUGAAGAUAAUGACUGUAGCAGGUAAAGAAACCCCGGCUAACUCCGUGCCAGCAGCCGCGGUAAUACGGAGGGGGUUAGCGUUGUUCGGAAUUACUGGGCGUAAAGCGCGCGUAGGCGGACAUUUAAGUCAGAGGUGAAAUCCCAGGGCUCAACCCUGGAACUGCCUUUGAUACUGGGUGUCUUGAGUUCGAGAGAGGUGAGUGGAAUUCCGAGUGUAGAGGUGAAAUUCGUAGAUAUUCGGAGGAACACCAGUGGCGAAGGCGGCUCACUGGCUCGAUACUGAUGCUGAGGUGCGAAAGUGUGGGGAGCAAACAGGAUUAGAUACCCUGGUAGUCCACACCGUAAACGAUGAAUGCCAGUCGUCGGGCAGUAUACUGUUCGGUGACACACCUAACGGAUUAAGCAUUCCGCCUGGGGAGUACGGUCGCAAGAUUA
rnacentral:rRNA from 1 species